rnacentral:piRNA from 1 species
UAAAAGCACUGAUAACAUUGA